rnacentral:rRNA from 1 species
AACGAACGCUGGCGGCAGGCUUAACACGUGCAAGUCGAACGCCCCGCAAGGGGAGUGGCAGACGGGUGGGUAACGCGUGGGAAUCUACCUAGUUCUACGGAACAACACAGGGAAACUUGUGCUAAUACCGUAUACGCCCUACGGGGGAAAGAUUUAUCGGAAUUAGAUGAGCCCGCGUAAGAUUAGCUAGUUGGUGGGGUAAUGGCCUACCAAGGCGACGAUCUUUAGCUGGUCUGAGAGGAUGAUCAGCCACACUGAGACUGAGACACGGCCCAGACUCCUACGGGAGGCAGCAGUGGGGAAUAUUGGACAAUGGGCGCAAGCCUGAUCCAGCCAUGCCGCGUGAGUGAUGAAGGCCUUAGGGUUGUAAAGCUCUUUUGUCCGGGAAGAUAAUGACUGUACCGGAAGAAUAAGCCCCGGCUAACUUCGUGCCAGCCGCCGCAGUAACAC